AUUAUCUGUGAAAAACGAACCGGCCGGCAUGAUGAUUGAUUUGUGAAUUGUCAAAACAAACCACAAAUCAAAUCCUCAUGGCGGUCGUCUUUACCAAAGGUACUCAAGAAUAUUUUGCUGAAAUUAACAGUUGUCGUUACAUCGUAGUUAUCCCGAGCGGAAAUUUGGCUCCAAAAUGAGACCCAAAGUUUCUAUCCCACCCAAGAACAAGAACAAUAUUUUAUAUAUGAAUGGGAAU